UACGAAGGGGGCUAGCGUUGUUCGGAAUUACUGGGCGUAAAGCGUGCGCAGGCGGCUUCUCAAGUCAGGGGUGAAAGCCCAGAGCUCAACUCUGGAAUUGCCUUUGAGACUGAGAGGCUUGAGUACGAGAGAGGUGAGUGGAAUUCCCAGUGUAGAGGUGAAAUUCGUAGAUAUCGGGAGGAACACCGGUGGCGAAGGCGGCGAUCUGGGUCGAGUACUGACGCUGAGGUGCGAAAGCGUGGGGAGCAAACAGGG
rnacentral:rRNA from 1 species